UACGUAGGGGGCAAGCGUUGUCCGGAAUUAUUGGGCGUAAAGAGCGCGUAGGCGGUCCGAUAAGUCGGCUGUGAAAGUCAGGGGCUCAACCCUUGAAAGCCGGCCGAUACUGUCGGACUAGAGUCCGGAAGAGGCAAGUGGAAUUCCCGGUGUAGCGGUGAAAUGCGCAGAUAUCAGGAGGAACACCGGUGGCGAAGGCGCCACUCUGGGCCGAAACUGACGCUGAGGAGCGAAAGCGUGGGUAGCAAACAGG
rnacentral:rRNA from 1 species